rnacentral:ncRNA from 1 species
UUAAAUUCAUUGACGAGAACGAGUACGCUAAUCCCUUGUUCCCCAGAGAGUUGGCCCUGUGCUGAAAGCCAACGUUCAAGAAUUAGCCGAACAUCCUCUCCGAGAAGGAAUGCUGAAGCUUCAGUAAGCAGCCCCGGGAUCCCGCCGUUACAAGGGACGCGUAUGAUGGUACGUCGUAGAGGUGCCGCGGGAUCAUGUUUCAUGAUGGUUGCUGCGGAACAAGGGUGGUAGCGCGAGAACAAAUCUCGUCCCUUAC